rnacentral:rRNA from 1 species
AGAGUUUGAUCCUGGCUCAGGACGAACGCUGGCGGCGUGCCUAACACAUGCAAGUCGAACGGAACUGCUUCGAAGGAUUUCUUCGGAAUGACAUUGAUUCAGUUUAGUGGCGGACGGGUGAGUAACGCGUGAGUAACCUGCCUUCAAGAGGGGGAUAACAUUCUGAAAAGAAUGCUAAUACCGCAUGACAUAUGAUUGUCGCAUGGCAGACAUAUCAAAGAUUUAUCGCUUGAAGAUGGACUCGCGUCCGAUUAGUUAGUUGGUGAGGUAACGGCCCACCAAGACCGCGAUCGGUAGCCGGACUGAGAGGUUGAACGGCCACAUUGGGACUGAGACACGGCCCAGACUCCUACGGGAGGCAGCAGUGGGGGAUAUUGCGCAAUGGGGGCAACCCUGACGCAGCAACGCCGCGUGAAGGAUGAAGGUUUUCGGAUUGUAAACUUCUUUUAUUAAGGACGAAUAAUGACGGUACUUAAUGAAUAAGCUCCGGCUAACUACGUGCCAGCAGCCGCGGUAAUACGUAGGGAGCAAGCGUUGUCCGGAUUUACUGGGUGUAAAGGGUGCGUAGGCGGCUAAGCAAGUCAGAUGUGAAAUCUAUGGGCUCAACCCAUAAACUGCAUUUGAAACUGCAUAGCUUGAGUGAAGUAGAGGCAGGCGGAAUUCCCCGUGUAGCGGUGAAAUGCGUAGAGAUGGGGAGGAACACCAGUGGCGAAGGCGGCCUGCUGGGCUUUAACUGACGCUGAGGCACGAAAGCGUGGGUAGCAAACAGGAUUAGAUACCCUGGUAGUCC